UACGUAGGGGGCAAGCGUUGUCCGGAUUUAUUGGGCGUAAAGAGCGUGUAGGCGGCCUGAAAGGUCAGCUGUGAAAACUCGAGGCUCAACCUCGAGACGCCGGUUGAAACCAUCUGGCUAGAGUCCGGAAGAGGAGAGUGGAAUUCCUGGUGUAGCGGUGAAAUGCGCAGAUAUCAGGAAGAACACCCGUGGCUAAGGCGGCUCUCUAGUACGGUACU
rnacentral:rRNA from 1 species